GUCAUAAGCAAGAAGAAACCUCGGAACAAAUCUUGUCUUUGUUUGUGUCCAAAUCAUCAUCAUCCUCAUCGUCACGUGUCUUUCUCUCUCUCUCUCUGAAAUCCCAUUCCCCAAAGCUUGUUAAUUUUUGCUUCAAUUGUGUUUCUUCGCUGUUUUCGAUAAAACCUUUUCAAUUUCUUCAUCUGGGUCUUUCUCUUUUGAUUCUGGAAAUGGCUAAUUGGACAAAAAACCAAGGGAUCAGUCAAGUGGGUCAGUGGAUAUCCUCAUCCUAUAAUGGAAAACCACCUUUGGCUAAUAGGUUUCCAACAGUGCCUUCGUGGGAAAAGAAGUUUUGUAAUUCGGUUGGUUCAGUUCCAUGGAGAAAGGUAAUAGAAGGCAAUAAGUAUAUGUGUCUUCACCCCAAAGUGGUAAACUGGAACGACUCUGCUGUCAAAGAGGCAUUUGACAAUGCAAAAAACAGGUUUUGGGCUGAGAUCAACGGCCUUCCCUGCAACAUACCAUUGCCUGAUCCUAACAUUUACAUCGACGAUGUAGAUUGGAAUGCAAGUAUUGACUCUGAACUUUAUUUGGAGGUGGAAAGAGAAGCAGAGGCCCGCCGCAACAUGGAUCAAAAACCCGAGGAAAUCGUGAUUCUCGGUAGUUCUCUCCUCUUGAAUCAGUCCUUGUCUGGUCCUGGAUGGGGGGACAAAGAAGAAAACGUAACAAAGCCCUCUGAACCAAACUAUGCUGCUCAGGGAUGGGAAACAAACUCUUGGGAACAGUAUCAUGCUCCUGUUGAUGAACAUGCAAAAGAAUAUGGGUGGAAAAAUAGUCAGAAUGAUUCUCAGAGGUGGAUUCAGAGGGAGAACUAUGGUGGCAACUUGCAUAACAAAUAUCAAGGAAGAAAUGGUUGGAAUAGUAAUUGGGCAACAUGGGAUGGGUAUAACAGAAAGAGAGAAAACAAGAUGUCUCGGUCUAUGAACCCUGGUUAUCAUCACGGUAAGUUGUAUCAGAUGAGUAGAGGAAGAGGAGGAGGAAUGAGGGGAAAUUUUAACUAUGUGCACAAGGUAGCUACUCCUACUGCAUGGUAAAUGAAGAUCAAAUACCUUGUACUGCAAGCAAAGACUCAUAUGAAUCUGCUAAAGGGAUAUUGUGCGUAUCUUGAUGUAGAAAGUGCAUUAGACCUUUCACUUGGGAGUCAAUGGGUGGGUGUAAAUAGCAAGAACCUACUCAUCUCAAAUCCUGAUUAUGCUGAAAAUUUGUGGAGCAUAGUUGAGUUGAUACAUUAACAGAAAGUGAAAGCUGUAGACGUGAUUGUCGUUGAUAGUGUUGCUGUUAUCGUCUCCAAAUGCGAACUUGGUCAAUUAGGAGUUCCUACGGAAAAUUCAUUAUCCUGCUCCUGAACUUCUUGAACUUGUAGUUUUUGUUAUUCAGGUCAAAGUCACAUUAGUUGUAAAAUAUACCAAUGAACCAUAGAUUUAUCAUUCAA